CUACCGGCGACGUUGCAGCGGCAAAAGCUCCAAUUUGCAAUCUGGUUCCCUUCGGUGCCCGAGUUUGUCAUUUCGGAUCGGGCAACUUUGGGGCCGUUCCUGGUCUCUGUUCCUGGGAACAGGACGUCAUAAAGGGUGAUAAUCCCGUGUGGCGAGGAGUGCGGUUCUUUGUAAAGUGCCUUCGAAAAGUCGAGUUGUUUGGGAAUGCAGCUCUAAGUGGGUGGUAAAUUCCAUCUAAAGCUAAAUAUUGGCGAAAGACCGAUAGCGAACAAGUACAGUGAUGGAAAGAUGAAAAGAACUUUGAAAAGAGAGUGAAAAAGUACGUGAAAUUGUUGAAAGGGAAGGGCAUUUGAUCAGACAUGGUGUUUUGUGCCCUCUGCUCCUUGUGGGUAGGGGAAUCUCGCAUUUCACUGGGCCAGCAUCAGUUUUGGUGGCAGGAUAAAUCCAUAGGAAUGUAGCUUGCCUCGGUAAGUAUUAUAGCCUGUGGGAAUACUGCCAGCUGGGACUGAGGACUGCGACGUAAGUCAAGGAUGCUGGCAUAAUGGUUAUAUGCCGCCCGUCUUGAACCAGGAAACCAAAA
rnacentral:rRNA from 1 species